GUCUGUAGCUCAGGUGGUUAGAGCGCACCCCUGAUAAGGGUGAGGUCGGUGGUUCAAAUCCACCCAGACC
rnacentral:ncRNA from 14 species